UUCGGGGUGCAGCAGGCGCGAAAACUUUGCAAUGCGGGAAACCGUGACAAGGGAACUCUGAGUGCCCGUUAAAUCGGGCUGUCCAUCGGUUUAAAUAACCGGUGAAGAAAGGGCCGGGCAAGACCGGUGCCAGCCGCCGCGGUAAUACCGGCGGCUCGAGUGGUGGCCACUAUUACUGGGCUUAAAGCGUUCGUAGCUGGUUUGUUAAGUCUCUGGGGAAAUCUUCCGGCUUAACCGGAAGGCGUCUCAGGGAUACUGGCAGACUAGGGACCGGGAGAGGUGAGAGGUACUCCAGGGGUAGGAGUGAAAUCCUGUAAUCCUUGGGGGACCACCUGUGGCGAAGGCGUCUCACCAGAACGGCUCCGACAGUGAGGGACGAAAGCUGGGGGAGCAAACCGGAUUAGAUACCCGGGUAGUCCCAGCUGUAAACGAUGCGCGUUAGGUGUAUCGGUGACCACGAGUCACCGAGGUGCCGAAGAGAAAUCGUGAAACGUGCCGCCUGGGAAGUACGGUCGCAAGGCUGAAACUUAAAGGAAUUGGCGGGGGAGCAC
rnacentral:rRNA from 1 species